rnacentral:RNase_P_RNA from 1 species
GCAGUGGCUCGGCUUGUCGCUGGUGUCCAACCACCUUCGAAAUUCGGAGGGAAGGGAUGCGAGAGGAAAGUCCGGGCAGCACAGGGCGCCCCACUUCUGAAAAUGGAAGCAGUUGGCGACAGCUGGUGUCGGAAGAAGAAAAUAACCGCCCGUCAAAGGGUAAGGGUGAGAAGGUGGUGUAAGAGACCACCAGCCGCUGGGCGAUCAGCGGGCUGUUCCAUCUGGGGGCUGCAAGUUCAUGUAAACCAUCGUCUGAGGGUUGCCCGCCCGAGUAAUACGGUGGAGGGUAGAAUGCUGGAGCCGUAGGGUGACUUGCGGAGUAGAUAAAUGACAGGCGUCCUGCCGUAAGGACAGGAAACAGAACCCGGCUUACAGAGCCACUGCUUUC